rnacentral:rRNA from 1 species
UACGGAGGGUGCGAGCGUUAUCCGGAAUUACUGGGUUUAAAGGGUGCGUAGGCGGCUAUGUAAGUCAGGAGUGAAAGUUCGCGGCUCAACCGUAAAAUUGCUUUUGAUACUGCAUGGCUAGAAUUAGGAUGAGGUCAGCGGAAUGUGGCAUGUAGCGGUGAAAUGCAUAGAUAUGCCAUAGAACACCAAUUGCGAAGGCAGCUGGCUAGACCUGUAUUGACGCUGAGGCACGAAAGCGUGGGGAGCGAACAGG